CUUAGCUCAGUCGGCAGAGCGGCGGACUGUUAAUCCGUACGUCGCAGGUUCGAUCCCUGCAG
rnacentral:tRNA from 1 species